AUGGGAAACAGGUUAAUAUUCCUGUACUUGGUGUUACUGCGAAGGGGGGACGGAGAAGGCUAUGUUAGCCGGGCGACGGUUGUCCCGGUUUAAGCAUGUAGGCGGAGGUUCCAGGUAAAUCCGGUACCUUUUAACGCUGAGGUGUGAUGACGAGGCACUACGGUGCUGAAGUAACAAAUGCCCUGCUUCCAGGAAAAGCCUCUAAGCAUCAGGUAACAUUAAAUCGUACCCCAAACCGACACAGGUGGUCAGGUAGAGAAUACCAAGGCGCUUGAGAGAACUCGGGUGAAGGAACUAGGCAAAAUGGUGCCGUAACUUCGGGAGAAGGCACGCUGGUGUGUAGGUGAAGUCCCUGCGGAUGGAGCUGAGACCAGUCGAAGAUACCAGCUGGCUGCAACUGUUUAUUAAAAACA
rnacentral:rRNA from 1 species